GGGACCCAGGUCCCGCGCGCCAGGGGGCCUGGUGUGGCGGGCCUGGAGGGUGAAGGGCGAGCGACCCGAGCCCACAGCCUGGCGGCAGGGGACGCCCCUGGCCAUUGGCGGUCAGGGCGAGGUGCGGCCCUGCGGGGUCUCGCACAGGCUCCAGGGCCCUUGGGGUCCCGGAGGGUCCAGCAGAAGGGUCUGUGUUUUGCCCGGGGUCCUGAGAGCGUGCUGGGGAUAGCAGGGGUGGAGUGCAGGUGUGCCCAUGGGCGCCCCGGGUCCAGGGCCCGCGGAGCCGCUCUCGGGGCGGAGACCUUGCCCCAGGGGCACGUCAGCGGUCCUGAGGUGAGGCUCCUGCAGAGCACUCUGGGCCGCGUGUGUCUCUCCCUGCGUGGGCAGGCAGUGUCGGUGGCCGGAGCGAGGGUGUUUUCCCAUCGGGGUGAGAGGGAGAGCCCCAGGGUGGGCCUGGGGGCGGAAUCGGACUCGGGGUUGGGGUGGACUCUUCUGAAGCUGGGAGGGGUGCGGGUGGGCAGGGCCUUAGGGAGCCUGAGGGAGGCGCGGUUCCUGGGGGAAGGGUGUGGCGAGGCGGCGGCAGCCCGCGUCGCGCUGUGGCGCCCCAGCGAAGGGGCAGUGCUGGCCACUCGUGUGGCCCUUUGGCUGCUGGCACCCAGUGAGAGGGGGGAGGCCAGGGACAGGUGGCAGCCAGGCUGCCCACAGGCCCGGGGCGGUGGGGGCCCGGCCCCUGUGCCUUGGGCAGCCUGGCCCCUUGCUGAGGCGUGCUUGCGCGUGUCCGUUGUCGCCCUCACCCAGCUGCUGCGGCGGAGAGACGGAGGCCAGCGCGGGGAGCGGAAGCCGGAGCCUGUCGGGAGCGACCCCGGGAAGGCCAGUCCCUCCUGCCGGUGGGAGGCGUGUUGGCGUGCGGCCGGUGGCGGGAUCGAUGGCCACCUGGUAGGCGAUGCUGCUGCGGCGGAGAGACGGAGGCCAGCGCGGGGAGCGGAAGCCGGAGCCUGUCGGGAGCGACCCCGGGAAGGCCAGUCCCUCCUGCCGGUGGGAGGCGUGUUGGCGUGCGGCCGGUGGCGGGAUCGAUGGCCACCUGGUAGGCGAUGCUGCUGCGGCGGAGAGACGGAGGCCAGCGCGGGGAGCGGAAGCCGGAGCCUGUCGGGAGCGACCCCGGGAAGGCCAGUCCCUCCUGCCGGUGGGAGGCGUGUUGGCGUGCGGCCGGUGGCGGGAUCGAUGGCCACCUGGUAGGCGAUGGUAAGCGGCAGUGGCCUGCGCCAAGGUAGCCCCCGGGGGCGGUGUGUGGCGCCCGGACCCGCACCCUCUGCUCCCGGGGGUGGAGCUGACCUGCUUGCCCGCGGUUGGGCUCGGGAGCCUGCGGGCCGCGGCCAGGAGGGAGCUGGCUGGCCGUCCCGGCGGUGGGGGCUGUGGCGGUGGCCGUCCCGCGGGUGUGCCCGUGCUCGGAUCGAUGAUGACACCCACAAACGCAUUCCUUGGAAAAUCUGAACAAAAUGAGUGAGAACUCACUACCGUCUCCUCAUCGCAAACUGAGGUCCGGCACGUGGCUCCCACAGGGGCCGUCGGGGGAGGGUCCCGUUGCCUUGGCUCCCUUGGGUGCGUGCAGCCCUGGGGCGCAGGUGGGAGGCAGGCAGGCCUCCGGUGGCCC
ensembl:lncRNA